UUAUUGGAGAGUUUGAUCCUGGCUCAGGACGAACGCUGGCGGCGUGCCUAAUACAUGCAAGUCGAGCGGACUUGAUGGAGUGCUUGCACUCCUGAUGGUUAGCGGCGGACGGGUGAGUAACACGUAGGCAACCUGCCCGUAAGACUGGGAUAACUACCGGAAACGGUAGCUAAUACCGGAUAAUUUAUUUCAUCGCAUGGUGGAAUAAUGAAAGACGGAGCAAUCUGUCACUUACGGAUGGGCCUGCGGCGCAUUAGCUAGUUGGUGGGGUAACGGCUCACCAAGGCGACGAUGCGUAGCCGACCUGAGAGGGUGAACGGCCACACUGGGACUGAGACACGG
rnacentral:rRNA from 1 species